UCCGGGCUGUGAUUAGCCAGGACGAGAAGGGCGUCGGGACUGCCACUGUUGUGGGUGAUAGUGAUUCUCUUGCUUUGUCGCCGAAGGAUGAAUUGGAUGUCAGGGUGGUUCUGACCAUACGAAAAAAGAUGAAGGAGAAGCUGGUGGAGAAGAUCGAGGAUCAAUGGGAGUCUUUUGUUAAUGGCAUCGGCUGUGGGAUCGUUGUUCAGCUCGUCAGUGAGGAGAUCGACCCUGUCACCAAAACUGGGAAGAGAAGUGCAGAGACUCCAGUGAGGAGUUGGUUACCCCAGGCAUCAGGCAAUCCAUUGCUUGCUGAGUAUGUCGCAAAUCUCACUGUCCAGUCUGAUUUUGGCCUGCCUGGCGCCAUUAUCAUCACAAACCCUCAUAGCAAGGAGUUCUACCUGAUGGAGAUUGUAAUUCAUGGUUUCAGUGGGGGCCCUGUCAUUUUUCCGUCAAAUUCAUGGAUCCAUUCUCGCAGUGAUAAUCCUCAGAGCAGGAUUCUCUUCAGCAAUCAGGCAUACUUGCCAUCUCAAACCCCCAAUGGUCUUAAGGACCUUCGACAAGAAGACCUGAUUUGCCUUCGUGGUGAUGGGCAAGGCGAGAGGAAAAUGUUUGAAAGAGUCUAUGACUAUGCCACAUACAAUGACUUGGGUAAUCCUGACAAGGGUGAAGAUCUUGCUAGGCCAAAUCUAGGAGGUAAUCAGAAACCAUAUCCUAGGCGUUGUCGUACCGGCCGACCACCAGCUAAGUCAGAUCCAACAGCAGAGGGUCGGGUAGAGAAGCCUCAUCCUAUAUAUGUCCCUCGCGAUGAGGCAUUUGAGGAAGUCAAGCAGACCACAUUUUCUUCUGGAGCUUUAAGAGCAUUACUUCACAAUCUGAUACCAGCCCUAAAAGCUGCACUUUCUAGAUCUGACAAACAGUUCGAGUGCUUCUCUGACAUCGACCAGCUAUACAAAGUCGGGGUACUACUCCAACGUGAUGAACCUAAAGCAACCACCAAGCUUUUACUCCCAUCAAUACUGUCAAGUAUCAUGAAUGUCGGUGAAAGAUUUCUAAAAUAUGAGGUUCCAUCUAUCAUAUCAAGGGACAGUUUUUCUUGGUUGCGGGACAAUGAAUUUGCCCGCCAGACUUUAGCUGGUGUAAACCCAGUUGAUAUUGAAAGACUGAGGGAGUUCCCUAUAAUCAGUAAGUUGGAUCCUGCAGUUUAUGGUCCUCCAGAGUCGGCAAUAACUAAGGAGUGUAUAGAGCAUGAUUUGAACGGAAUGAGCCUUGAAGAGGCAAUGGAGAAUGAUAGAUUGUUUAUUCUUGAUUAUCAUGAUCUCCUUCUUCCAUUUGUAAAAAAGAUCAACUCCUUGAAGGGAAGGAAAGUUUAUGCUUCAAGAACAAUAUUCUUCCGCACCAGAUUUGGCACUCUUAGACCAAUCGCUAUCGAGCUUAGCUUGCCACCUACUGCUUCCAAUCCUCCUAAAAAAAGGGUAUAUACAAGAGGACAUGAUGCUACAAGUCAUUGGAUUUGGAAAUUGGCAAAAGCUCAUGUCUGUUCAGUUGAUGCUGGGGUCCAUCAACUAGUGAACCAUUGGUUGAGGACUCAUGCAUGUAUGGAGCCCUACAUAAUUGCUGCUCAUAGGCAGCUUAGUUUCAUGCACCCAAUUUUCAAGCUGCUGCAUCCACAUAUGCGAUACACAAUGGAAAUCAACGCAUUGGCACGCCAAAGUUUAAUAAAUGGUGGUGGCAUUAUUGAGGCCUGCUUUAGCCCAGGGAAGUACUCAUUAGAGCUUAGUUCAGCAGCUUAUAAGAGCGUGUGGCGAUUUGAUAUGGAAGCACUGCCGGCUGACCUGAUCCGAAGAGGCAUGGCUGUAGAGGACCCCUCGAUGCCUUGUGGCAUAAAGCUUGUCAUAGAGGACUACCCUUACGCCGCAGAUGGUCUGCUCAUCUGGUCGGCGAUACAAGAUUGGGUCCGCGACUAUGUGAACCAUUUCUACACCAAAGCCGAAGCUGUUACUUCCGACACAGAGCUCCAAGAUUGGUGGGAUGAGAUUAAGAACAAAGGUCAUGCGGACAAGAAAGACGAACCAUGGUGGCCAAAGUUAAACAACCAAGAAGACCUGAUCAACAUUCUGACUAUCAUGAUAUGGACUGCUUCAGGACAACAUGCAGCUGUAAACUUUGGUCAGUACCCAUUCGGAGGCUACAUGCCGAAUCGGCCUACUCUAAUGAAGAAACUCAUUCCACAAGAAGAUGAGCCUGACUACGAGGACUUCAUAUUGAAUCCUCAAUACACUUUUCUGUCAUCGGUGCCAUCUCAACUUCAAGCUACUCAAAUAAUGGCAGUCCAGGACACCUUAUCGACGCAUUCUCCUGACGAGGAGUAUCUGGGUCAGCUGCACAAUUCACACUCUCACUGGAUCAAGGAUCGGCAAAUAGUGAACUAUUUUGAAACAUUCUCCGCAAAAUUGGUCGAGAUUGAGGACAUCAUACACAAGAGAAACAAGAACUUCCAUCUCAAGAACAGAAGCGGAGCUGGUGUACCUCCAUACGAACUUCUCCUUCCUACCUCCGGUCCCGGUGUGACGGGCCGUGGCGUUCCGAAUAGCAUAUCCAUAUGAACCAUUGGCUGCUUGCAUUGUAUCUAAUUGCGCACUUAUUGUUUGAAAUUAGCUCCACAGAUUGAUAUUGUUUGCAAGAUUUGCACAAGGUUUGGCAACUGGCAAGUCCUAUUGUUACAGUAUAUGUACAAGUAAAAAUUUGUGAGGCCUCUAGAUUGUGUUGUGUAGUUUAUCUUCAAACUUUGUGAAGAAUUGGAAGGAGAAGCUUCGGUUGGCUCAAUUUGUCGAAGUCAUUUCAUUGUAAUAAAAUUUUAGAUCAAUUAUAAAUAGGUUGAUAUCAA